rnacentral:SRP_RNA from 1 species
GCUGGGCAUGGCAGCGCGUGCCUGUAGUCCCAGCUACUUGGGAGGCUGAGGCAGGAGAAUUGCUUGAACCUGGGAGUUGGAGGUUGUAGUGAGCCGAGAUUGUGCCACUGUGCUCCAGCCUGGGUGACAGAGCAAGACUCCGUCUCAA